rnacentral:sRNA from 1 species
UGAUGAUGAUGAUGAUGAUGACGAUGAUAAGAAUGAUGAUAAUGAUGAGGGUGAGCAUGAAUAUUAUUAUUAUCAUAAUGGUCAUGAUCAUCAUUU